rnacentral:rRNA from 1 species
GACGAACGCUGGCGGCGUGCUUAACACAUGCCAGUCGAACGGUGAAGCGCCUUCCUUUUUGGUGGGUGUGGAUGAGUGGCGAACGGGUGAAUAAGACGAGCGUAACCUUCCCCCUUCUUCAGGAUAACGGCAUGAAGGUGUGGCUAAUACGGGAUAUUCUGCGUCUGUUGGAUGAUGGGUCUGGGAAAGAUAUUGUGUCGGUGGGCGAUGGGCUCGCGGCCGAUCAGCUUGUUGGUGGUGUGAUGGCCUACCAAGGCGGCGAGGGGUAGCCGGCCUGAGAGGGUGGACGGUCUCAGAGGGACAGCGACACGGCCCAGACUGAGAUGGGGGGCAGCAGUGGAGAAUAUGGAACAGUGGGGACAAGCGUGAUGCAGCGACGCGGCGUGAGGGAUGGAGCCCUGCGGGUUGUGACCGGCUUUCGCCAGUGAAGCACUCCUGCCUCUUUUGUGGGUGGGUUGACGGUAGCUGGUAAAGAAGCGCCGGCUAACUACGUG